rnacentral:rRNA from 1 species
CCUACGGGUGACUGCAGUCGAGAAUCAUUCACAAUGGGGGAAACCCUGAUGGUGCGACGCCGCGUGGGGGAAUGAAGGUCUUAGGAUUGUAAACCCCUGUCAUGUGGGAGCAAAUUAAAAAGAUAGUACCACAAGAGGAAGAGACGGCUAACUAUGUGCCAGCAGCCGCGGUCAUACAGAGGUCUCAAGCGUUGUUCGGAAUCACUGGGCGUAAAGCGUGCGUAGGCUGUUGCGUAAGUCGUGUGUGAAAGGCGCGGGCUCAACCCGCGGACGGCACAUGAUACUGCGAGACUAGAGUAAUGGAGGGGGAACCGGAAGUCUCGGUGUAGCAGUGAAAUGCGUAGAUAUCGAGAGGAACACUCGUGGCGAAGGCGGGUUCCUGGACAUUAACUGACGCUGAGGCACGAAGGCCAGGGGAGCGAAAGGGAUUAGAUACCCGGGUAGUC